AGACUCACAUCCCCUGGUGGAAGAGAAGGCAUCUGCUCCUCCAUCAUGAACCUCUGAGACCUCAAGAAUGAGGCUACAACCUUGAAAUGUCAGGGCUGACAACAUCUGUGAAGGAUCCACAUUAUGCCUUUAUUUCCACAAUUCUUCUCUCAAAAAUAAGGAGGAAAUAUGUACAAAUGGGGCCAUGACACGUACAACUGCUUAGGCAAUUGUAUACCACAUGUUACUUGAAGCAUAUAGUAGAUUGUAUGAUUUGGAUUGCUGGAAUGGCAAACAUCAAGGGUGGUUAUGCAAAAAAUAAAAAAAGAAUCAGUAAACCUUGCAGUCUGGUUGCCAUUUUUAGAAUUUGAAAGAGGAAGAAUAUGUAUGUGAUGGUAACUGGGACAGCCACACUGAAAUGGCUUUAUUUGACUUCUCGAGGGUGGUAUUUUAGUACAUUCAGUCUGCUUCAUUUUGUAUGGCUGCAAAUGUUACACUUAAGGACGGAUGUGGCUGGUUAAAAAGUAAGAAUAGAAGCGAGCAUGUGCAUUGGACACCUGAGCAUGGGAAAGAGAAGAUGGCAAAAGCCACAUCCUCAGGCAGUCAUUCAAUGAAAACCACUCUAUACAUAAUGGAGAAACGCUCAGCAUGCAGAGAAAUGGAGGGACUCCUGCUUCUUGUGGGCGCAGUCCUCCACACCUGGCCCAAAGCAUUUGUUUGGGGAAAAGCAGCCCCCAAAGGCAACUGGGUGGGCUUGGUGAAUAUCGGCACUCUCAAAGGAUGCUUAAAAGACCAGAUUAGAACAGUGGUCCAGACACAGCGAAGUUUAAGCACGGAAAUGUAGACUUUAAUGCAGUUGAACUAUUUGUUAUUUGGAACUUCCUUCACAUCUAUCCUCAGAAUCUGUGUGUCAGCGCCAUCUACUGAUGAAUGGAAAGACUGUGCCUGCCAUUACAGUACUGUAGAGCGAAAUGGGGUAUUUCCAGAGAGAGGGUGUUUUUGCGCAAGCUUCAUGGGCUUGUGCAAGAAACUGCAUGAAGAGUCUAUAUAGUUACUUAGCAAUCUUGCACUAGCUGAUGCCACUAUUUUCUGUCUGCACCAGGGGCAGAGUGUUGGGGUCCCCCCUAUGUCCUUUCCUGUCUCGCCCACAGAAGUUUAUAAUGAAAUGAAGUGAAAUCAGGAAUAAAAAUAUUGUAAUAUCUAUCAACUGGCCUCAGUUUUAAAAAGCCAAACAAAAAUACUGCACAAGGUGAGAACUGGAUCCAGGGGUCAUAUCAGGGUGUAGCCUUGGAAUCCAGCCCUCACAUGAAUGAAUGGAUCAUAACAAAUAUAACAAAUAUAAGAUAGAAACAUAAAGAAAGAUUAAAUCAUAUUGUAUCCAGAGAAGGAACAACAAAUAACAUUUAACUUCAACCUAAAACUUCAUACUGCAAUAAUUGCUUCAUAAUAGAGCAAGAUAAAACUAAUCCUACAUUUCAACUCGGAGUCAGAGCCCUUGAAUUUAUCAAUGAUGUAUGUGUUCCAAUGGUCACUCACAUCCCCCUUGCAUAAUAAAGGGGACAAUACAAAAUAUAAAAUGUAAGAUCCUCUACCAGCCUCUGACCACAAGGGCAGAGGUGCUGUUCCACUGGGGCAUUACAGAAUCUGCCCUGAAAAUGUUCCGAUAACAUGGUCUGGAAUCCUAAGCCGCUGAAAGCCCUUCUUAAUGGCACACUAGUAAGAUUGAUCAAGUAAUGCAAAUUGAAGCUAUUUUUCUUAUAAUAAGUACACUGUGGUGUUUUUGGUUAAUGGUGUUUUUGUUCCUUGGUACAGGCCGACUUUUGAAUGGGGCUUUAGUUACCUGUAUUCCAGGCCUGGAGUAGAGGCAGAGCUAACAAACAGCUAGAGCACUGAAAGCAGUCUGCACUUGCCUCUCUAAAUAAUAUCUGUUUCAAUAAACCAUUAAUAUUCGUGAUUCUGCUUCACUGCCUUGUCCUUGCAUACCACAACUCUUUCCCUUGGAUUCUACAGACAUCACACAGAACAUGUAGAAUUCUCAAAUAUCCCAGCUAGAAUCCCACUUAAAAUGCCAAUCAUAUAUUUUCUUUCUGUCUCCAGCCCUUACAUACAUCAACAGCCUAUGAAGGUGACCACUCCUCCACAGCUUGUGCUAUGGUCCAUUUACAUCUUUUCCUCCUUUUGCAAGAUUUUCUCCUUCUGUAAUCAAGUUUUUAGCAAGUUGUUCUAGUAAGAAUUAAUCACCCAACUUUCCUUUCCCUGUCUCUACAACGGGACUAAAUUUGGUGCAAAUUGAGGUCCACAAGUUAGAUCUCUUGCACCUCAAAUGUUCAUGUGUCUUGGAUCGGGGUGGAUGUCAUCAUUACAAACUGCACCAUUGAGGUGUCCCUGUGUGUCACUGUCUGUCCACAAGCUAGUACACUUGUGCCUCAUAAGGUUUCAUGUCCACCAUCUUGAAUUGGGGUGGAUGACAUCAUCACACACCACGCCUUUAGGGCAUCCUUAUGUGCCCCUACAGCUGUAGCAAAUUUGGUUCAAAUCGGUUAAGCGAUUCACAAGUUAGCUUACUUGCACCUCAAAGGUUUAUGCUUCCGCCAUCUUGAAUCAGGGUGGAUGACAUCAUCACAAACUACACCACUGAGGUGUCCCUGUGUGUCACUCACUACAACUGUAUGUAAUUUGAUUCAAAACAGUUAGACAGUCCACAAGUUAGCCCACUUGCGCCUUAAACGUUCACACAUCGACCAUCUUGGAUUGGGGGAGAUGACAUCAUCACAAACUAUGCCAUUGAGGUGUCCCUAUGUGCCCCUACAGCUGCAGCAAAUUUGGUUCAAAUCGGUUAAGUAGUUCACAAGUUAGCCCACUUGCACCUCAAAAGUUUAUGCGUCCGCCAUCUUGAAUAUGUGUGGACUACAUUAUCACAAGCUAUGCAAUUGAGGUGUCCCUAUGUGUCACUCACUGCAAAUGUACCUAAUUUGGUUUGAAUUGGUUUAGACAGUCCACAAAUUAGCUUGCUUGCGCCUCAGACAUUCACGCAGCCGACAUCUUGAAUUGGAGUGGAUUACAUCAUCACACACCACUCCAUUUGGGAAUCCCUAUGUGUCUCUACAGCUGUAUAAAAUUUGGUUCAAACCCUAUUUUCAUUGGGGGGUGCUCAAUUUGUUCCAGCAGCACUUAAAUUAUUUUUAGCUAAAUCCUGCCCUCAGAUGUUGAAUGGUUGCAAUUGGGUCUGUAUGCUAAUUCUGCAGCUUUGGAGGUCAUUCAGACAAAAUUUUUAAGAUCUAUUUUAAAUAUGUUUGGGACCCUAGAAGCGUCCCAAACAUAUGAGGCUAUAACAACAAACCUGCGAGAUAUUUAGAUAAAUUUACAGUUGCUAAAUUUUGCAGGAUGUUCACAUUGACCUGAUUUAAUGUAUUACCUUUGGCUGAUUUGGAGGGUAGGUUCAGAAGGAUUCCUAUAGAACAGAGACUGUGCCUGUGUGAUUCUGGAGACCGGGAAUUGAUUUUUCACAUUUUACUUUACUGUUUCCUUUACAGGGACUUUCAUCAACAUUGUAUUGCUCCGCUAUUGGUCAAUUAUCCAGGGCAUACAGAUAUAUUUUAUGUUAAUUACUUGCUUUCUGAUCAGAAGAAGGAGAUAACGACUAAUGUCUCAAAGUUCUGUGUGGUGGCUAGGAAAGUUAGGAAUCAGAUAGUAGACCAGCUUGUGUAACUUGGGGUUUAUUUGUUAUGCUGAGACAUUAUACCAAACUACUGUAAGCACUGUUGAUCCUUAUUUGUACAUAUGUUUUGAAUUCUGGUCUUUGACCGUAAAUAAACUUGACUGACUUGA